UACAGAGGUCUCAAGCGUUGUUCGGAUUCAUUGGGCGUAAAGGGUGCGUAGGCGGCGCGGUAAGUCGGGGUGUGAAAUCUCGGAGCUUAACUCCGAAAACUGCAUUCGAUACUGCCGUGCUUGAGGACUGGAGAGGAGACUGGAAUUUACGGUGUAGCGGUGAAAUGCGUAGAUAUCGUAAGGAAGACCGUGGCGAAGGCGGGUCUCUGGACAGUUCCUGACACUGAGACGACGGCCAGGGGAAGGCAAACGGG
rnacentral:rRNA from 1 species